AAUGAACGCUGGCGGCAGGCCUAACACAUGCAAGUCGAACGGAUCCUUCGGGAUUAGUGGCGGACGGGUGAGUAACGCGUGGGAACAUACCCUUUGGUACGGAAUAGCCUCGGGAAACUGGGAGUAAUACCGUAUGUGGUCGAGAGACGAAAGAUUUAUCGCCAAAGGAUUGGCCCGCGUUGGAUUAGGUAGUUGGUGGGGUAAUGGCCUACCAAGCCGACGCUCCAUAGCUGGUUUGAGAGGAUGGUCAGCCACACUGGGGCUGAGACACGGCCCAGACUCCUACGGGAUUCAGCAGUGGGCAAUCUUAGACAAUGGGGGAAACCCUGGUCUAGCCAUGCAGCGUGAUCGAUGAAGGCCUUAGGGUUGUAAAGAUCUUUCAGGUGGGAAGAUAAUUACUUUACCACCAGAAGAAGCCCCGGCUAACUCCGUGCCAGCCGCCGCCGUAA
rnacentral:rRNA from 1 species